UAAAAGUUACGGAAUCUUUGAUCUGGUGUGUAAAACAGCAGGAUGCAUAUAAAUAUAAAUAAAUGGAUUUAUAAAAUGAAGGGAUACUCAAACUUGAAGGUAAGAACUAAAAUUAUGUUUUGAAUUUUUGUGUACAAAUUGAUAAAUACUUCGAUGGUCGCACGUUGCCUGUACAUUGACACUGUAAUAGUGCUUUCUGUUCACAUAUUGCUCCUUGUGUUCAUGGGGAGCAAUGAUGCGAACGUGUGUUCCGUCGAUCGCCGCAAUUACAGACGGAAAUCCAGCGAUUUAUGUCUGUCCGUCGUCGGGAAUUUAAUUGUUUGGUCUUUCAGGUCACACAGUUCGUCAGUUACUCUGGUCACUACCCUUGAAACCGUGGCAAUGUCCACCCCAAAAGUAUCCCCUAUUAAUUGCAAAAAAUUUCCGGAAGCAAAAAAUCUCAGUGUUAUCAAUAUUUGCUGCCUCGGUGUCAAGGGUUGAUUCCGUCCAGUUGGUCUCUCAAGUCUAUGUCCGAUCAGUCGUUCUAUGCGGUCGAUGCUGUCAGGUGUAAAUCUAAAUCGUCAUCGUAUUUCUUCAGGGUCGUCAGUUUCCGUAAAUCUGUCAAUUCGUCGAAAUUGUCUUGGUCGUCUAGCGUUCGGUUAGUCAAUAUUAAUUGCCGCCUUAGUCUUUUGAUGAUUUUUGCUUUGGCAGACUCUUGACGUCAAUAGUCCACUCUAUCUUUUUAAUAGCGAGAGUUUUCCUUCUUUGUCUUUAUUGAUGCGCAAGGAAUUUGGUGCGCAACAUUCAAGCCCCGAUAUCAGACAGUUAAUAUCAACGGAUUGCAAUAAUAUUUACAUACCUGUGUAGAUAAUUCAUUUCUCAAUAAUGUUCCGUAAGAAUUAUGUAAUGACUCUUUCAAUUUUGCACGCCUGACCAAUUUAAAUCGACACACUACUCACAUUUUCCAUUCCAAUCGCUGUGCUCGCUGUAUACCGCAGGUAGAUUUUAAUCGAUAACGCAGCCUAUUACACCGUAAUGCCUUCUUCUGAUUGGUUGAUAUUUAAAUAUUUCAUAACAUGGCGAGAGGUCAGUGAUUGUAUUGCGAUUUAAGCAGAAGUUUAACUGAAACAAAUUAUGCCUUUUAACUUCAAUUCGACGCGAUUUGAGACCGGAGUUUCAGCGUUCAGCGUUCGGUAUGUCAAAGUCAGCCAUUUUGUCAGCGCGUACUUCAUUUGGAUAAAGAUAACCGACGUCAAAUAUCUUGGCUAAAUCUUAUCCAAAACUUAACCAGAACUUGAACCGUUUUGGAUAACCAUUUUUUUAUACAAUCGCUAACCAAAAAAGAUAUCCUUAAAUUGAAGAUAACCAAAAGUUAUCCGCUGGAUAAGAGUUAUCCAUAUUUAUACAAUUGGCUGCUGGACGUUACGGGGACCAUGCUUUGACCUAGCUUCCUUGAAUUUGGGCCAUAGCUGCUUCCUGGCGUCGCUUUUUUCUUUUGGAUAGUCUCUCAGGACCUGAAGUUGUUUCCGUCAAGUCGACGUGCGCUGUUCAUGAUGUCGUCAACGUCGCCUGGGUGGCUCAUCAUGACUCGAAUUAGCCGUGGUCGUGUAUUGUUUGUGCUGGUGCGUCUGCCGACACGAUUGCCGCGCAGGACUGAGAUUUCACCUCUGUCAAUGUUGAGUGACCUUCGCAGAAAUUCAUGAACUGUAUUAAAACAAUUUUCGUUUUCGCAUUUAUCUACCCCCGCAAUAAGUAUGAAGCUUUCCCUCUGCCGGGCCUCAAGCUCUAAUGUUUUGUAUUCAAGCAGAAGUACACGGACAAACAUAAAUUUGACGUCACGCGAUUUGUAUGGGUAUAACGUAGGUAUCCGAAAGAGCCGACAUAAAAUUCAAUAGUCGGCUCUUCCGGAUACCUGUUUUUUAGAAUGAAACUUGAUACAAAUGUAUGUAAAAACUUGUACUCAGUCACAUUAGCAAUGGAUAUUCUAUUGACCAUGUGUCAAUAUAAAUGGUUUUGAAAUAAGGAAAUCAUGUCAAUUUAUAUCUUCCUGGGAACAAAAAACAACAACACAAAAGUCAAAUAUUUAGAUAAUGCUAUCAGCCUGGAGUGUUUCCUGUUCCUGUUGCUAUGUAUUUGGUAAGUUGUUAAGACUGUAUUUUACUUCUAGGAUGAGUCGUCCACUAAUGUAUGCCCUGGAAAACGCAGUUGGAUCAGUAAAAAGUAAAUCUAUGGUCUACUUUAAGGCAUCUAGGCUCUACAAUAUACCAAGGUCAACGAUAUUUGCCAAGGUUAAGGGUCAUUCCAGCAUCGAAUGCACUAUGGGGCCACAUACAGUUCUCACAGCUGCUGAGGAAAAGAGGAUAGUCUAGUGGCUGACACAAAUGUCACGUAUCGGUUAUGGACGGACUAAAUAUAAAUUGAUAAGAACUGUUGACAAAAUUGUAAAGAAAGAUGGACUAUAAUUACCCGUCUAGAUGAGUUAAGUGUGAAAAUUGCCAAACACUUUGGCAUUAUAUGUGUGCCAACAGGCCGGAAUAUAAGUUGUUGGACGAGAAAGAAAGAGCAAAAAUGGAGUGUGUUUGUUUGAUGUGUGAUUGAAGUAUCAGACGCAAUUAUAAGAAAAAGUGAUGCUUUUUAAGUAUUAUCGCGUGAUUGACUGAUUACUAGUAUUUGAAUGAUGUACUGCUGUUGAGUUAAUGUUCCUGUUGAUUUCAAUUAUGUUUGGCAUGUUUUAUGAGUGUUUUUAUUUAAACAAUGGUGUGAAAAGGGUAGGCUCUUUGACAUAAUUAAAGCGUUACGUGACUGAAAUGAAAAGUUUUAACAUGAAAUAAUAUCAUAAAAGAUUAAGCCAGUUUGCAAUAUUUUCAUACGAGUUUAUAUUGUCAGUAAAACUAUUUGUAUUUUUGUAUAAUGGACAGUUUUAAGAAAGAAGUGAAUACAUUUUGAUAACGCUAUGUUUAA